UUUCAUCCCCAGAAGAUGUCCAGAUCACUUCCCUCUGCUUAUACCAAGGCCUCUUAGCAGAAAGAAAAUAGCAGUUUCUACAUCCAGCCAAAUUCCCUUCCCAUCUGGGCUGGGAGACUCCAUCUGCAGAGCGCUUGUAUCAGGUACAUCAGUAAGCAGGAAGGAUUGAGGAAGAGUUCUGCUGAGGAGCAGAUGGUGUUCCAACUUCUAAAAAACGCCCCUGAAAUUCUCCAAGAGAGGAGUACCCCUUGAUCUCUCCUGCAAAUAUUUUUCCAGAUGUUCUGUUCCUCUGAAUGCCUUUAGCUCUAGAAUUGUUCCACUCUCUCUGAUGGUAAUUACCGCUAAGGAGAAAAUGCCCUUGCAGGAAAAGGCAGAGGAACGUUCUGUGUUGUCAAAAUUUCUAUAUGAGCAACACCACGGAUGAAGAAGUCAGCCUGGUAUGAUCUGAACCGUCAGUUGAAUACUCACUGAUUUAAGCAUUUCUGAGGACUCAGUCCAAAACUAACGGAAAUCAUUGUGGCAAGUUCAGAUUGAGAGUAGAGCACCAAUCUCAGUACAAUUUUUGCACUUCUGAGUACUGCGGCAAGCAGUGUUUUGUCUGUGAAGAUAGUGAUGUUAAGGAGGAGACCAUCCAACACUUGGAGGGCUAGACAGAGGUAUGGUCAUACAUAAAGACAGCCAGCAGCACAUCACAGGUGCUCAACCAGAUGAAAAGUCCAGGUAGGUAAAAUUAAUGAAGUAAUCGCUCAUGAAUUAUAACUGAGUGGUGCCAUUACCACUUUGCAUAUCGAUGCUUAAAUGUUGCUGACAAUUUUUUUUAGGUAUGUAGUUCAGAAAGAGCAUAUGUCUUUAGUGGGUCUCGAGCAAGUCUGAGGUUUGUUUAUGAUGAACCUGAGGGUACCCUGCAGAGUGAAACUCUGGUGUCAGUGCCAAAGGAUUACAGAGAACUCUCUGUGGUCAUUGCUAUGUACAGCGUACAUCAGAAAAUCAUGAAUUUACUAAAAAAAGAUCUGUUUUUUCUGACUAGGCAUAGUUAGCUCUUUUGAGCAGAAAGUGUUUCAUUUUCAGCAGAUGUGUCUCGUUCUGUUCCUUCAUUCCUGAGAGGGUACAGAGGAGUGUGAGUUAACCAUGGGGGAGUGAAUAAUGAUACGGUGAAUAUCCAGCCACCAGGUUCAUGUACAUUUCUCUGAGUAUUAUCUCAAUGUAUAACUAAUGACACAGGGAAAAACAAGCUUUUUGUAAGCUUUGUAUUGCAUAAUCCACAGAAGUCUCUUGUGUCUGUUCUGCACUGGAGCCUCUAGGCAAACCCUCCAGAAACAAACUGAAGGAGAAAAGACACCACUUUUCCCCAGUGAAAGAUAAGGCUUCUGUGGAAAACAUAAUAAUCUGUGUGGCAUCCCUGGCCCCGCUCACCCAGCCUUUGUAGGCUCAUGCAGCCCCACUGAAUGACAUGCAUUCUCCAGCUGAUUUGCACAGCAUGAAGUUUGCUCUGUCCUCACCCUCUGUGGGAAUAGCAGUGCUGGUGCUGACCCAGGACUGAGGAGCAGCAGGCUCUGUCAAGCUGGCAGUGUCACCUUGCUUGGGGCACAGUCUCAACUCAGGUGCUGAACUCAGUUUCUUUAAACGAGGUGGGAAAGAGAUCACUGGAUUUUGUUAUUUUUUUGCAAGGUUAACUCAUAAGGAGUCACCAUUUCAUGAGUGUUUUAAACAGCUGGUUUUACUUUUUUUUUUCUUUUUCUUGCUGCUAUUUCUGGGAAUUCAGGCAGAUAUGCAGCUGUCAGCACCUGCCACUGCUGUCCUGAUUUACUGGCCCUAUACUGACUGUAAAGUUGAACUAAUGCAUGUUCUUACCAUGUAUUAUGCAUGACAGCAUGUUACGUAUUUUAUUCCAGCACUAUAAUAAAUAAUGUAAGUUGUGUGUAGACUUAGUUUAAGCAGCAGAAGUAGUGCUUUUUCUUUCUUUUCAUAUCAUGUGUCAUCCAGAGCAGUUUGCUGGAGCUCUGUGAGUGCCAUUAGCAGCUGGCAGCGUACAAAUUGUUGAAGCCAGUCAGGAAAUACUAUUAAAAUAUCAGAAAUAGUUAAAUUUGCUUUUGUGAACGUACUACACUGCUCACAGCCACAAUUGUGUUCUGCUAUAAGGAAAACCUCAGGUCUAAGUGUAACCAAAUGACUCUAUUUACAUGGCUAGCAUUGAGGUGUUGGCAGGGCAGCAAUCACAAGCUUUGGACAUCUAUGGCAUCUCUCUACCAGGAACUGUACAUGUACAAGAGUAACGAAGGUGCCUGUAGUUCUUUCAUAAUGCUGCUGAAAAUAGUAGUUCUGGAGAUGCACAGAGAGAAAAAAUUGCGCUCACUGUUCUUCUGACUGUUCAUCUAUUCCCUCCUCACACAGACACUCAUACAUCUGCAAACAUGAAGAGUGUCUACUGGGAAAGCCUUUUUUCCAGACAGUGGUGAGACAGAACAAAGACGACUAAUCUCUUACAUGGCAAAUAUAAGCUAUAGUACUCGUUUCGUGUUAGUUUGUAUAUUUUCAAAGCCUGUGUCUACAUUAGUGAGAAAUGAGCUCAGCUGGAUAAGCUCCGUAGCCUGAAACUGCUAGUGCUAAGUACUGGAUGCGCAGCUCAUAGUUUGUUCCUACGGGCUGAAUGCAACUAGUGACUGGAGCACAUCUUUUAGUUUAAUGGAAAUCAAAUCCACAUUCUGAGGACCACUCCACGACAUAAAGCAAAGCUUACAAAGUGGUGCCACUACAGUGGACUGCCCACAGGAAAGUGAAGGUCCUAUGUCUCCUUCUUUCAGCUAAAUACAAGCAAGCCCUUCCCACCUCCCCCAGCCCCCUUAGGCUUUCCAUGGAUUCCCUCUACUCGUAUGCAUUUUCCUUUGAAAUAUGAGAUCAUGCGACAUGAGAUUUCCUGACUCCUCCCAAGGUAGCAUCCAAGCCAGGAACGCGGUAUAGGACUGUGUAACCCAGCCUGGAUGCAACAGGGAAAGUUUGAUGAAGAGUCAGUCAUGAUUCCACUUGCUGAUGUGGUUUCACCAUGAACAUGCAUCAGCAAGCAUCCUUCUUGAUUUUUUAAUAUACUGCACUCCCCUCAAAUUCCCUUCAUAAAUUGUCCCAGAUUUUUUUUUCUUGUGGCCUUACAGUUACAUAUGUAUAUGUGUGUAUAUGUGCACGUAUAUACAGCAUACGAGUAUUCUUCUCUUCUUACACAGUUGCUACUAUAUACUCCUAACAAACUGAUGUAGGAAGUUCAUUUUAUGCUACUUAUUACGUGUGGUUUUUGGCUGUCUUUUUGUAGUGCUAAAGAGUGCAUUCAUAGUAGGUAGCAGCGUAAACUUAGAAAGAUUUCAUACUGUUUAUACUUAUUUUAAAUAUUGUGCUAAUUGUUUUCUUGCUACACGCCACUUAGUUUUAUGCUCCCGUUUGGAGAAUGUGCUUCUGUGUACUUGAAAAUUGUGCCUGGGAUAUUCUAAAAUAC
ensembl:lncRNA